rnacentral:rRNA from 1 species
CUACGGGUGGCACCAGUGAGGAAUAUUGCACAAUGGGGGGAACCCUGAUGCAGCAACGCCGCGUGGAGGAUGACGCAUUUCGGUGUGUAAACUCCUUUUAUAUGUCAAGAAAAUGACGGUAGCAUAUGAAUAAGCACCGGCUAACUCCGUGCCAGCAGCCGCGGUAAUACGGAGGGUGCAAGCGUUACUCGGAAUCACUGGGCGUAAAGGACGCGUAGGCGGGCUUGUAAGUCAGGUGUGAAAUCCUACAGCUUAACUGUAGAACUGCACUUGAAACUACGAGCCUAGAGUAUGGGAGGGGGAGAUGGAAUUAGUGGUGUAGGGGUAAGAUCCGUAGAUAUCACUAGGAAUACCUAAAGCGAAGGCGAUCUCCUGGAACAUUACUGACGCUAAGGCGUGAAAGCGUGGGGAGCAAACAGGAUUAGAUACCCUCGUAGUC